rnacentral:rRNA from 1 species
GGGCCCGCACAAGCGGCGGAGCAUGCGGAUUAAUUCGAUGCAACGCGAAGAACCUUACCUGGGUUUGACAUAUGCCGGAAAGCUCCAGAGAUGGAGCCCCUUUUGUCGGUAUACAGGUGGUGCAUGGCUGUCGUCAGCUCGUGUCGUGAGAUGUUGGGUUAAGUCCCGCAACGAGCGCAACCCUCGUCCUAUGUUGCCAGCGGGUAAUGCCGGGGACUCAUAGGAGACUGCCGGGGUCAACUCGGAGGAAGGUGGGGAUGACGUCAAGUCAUCAUGCCCCUUAUGUCCAGGGCUUCACGCAUGCUACAAUGGCCGGUACAAAGGGCUGCGAUAUCGCAAGAUGGAGCGAAUCCCAAAAAGCCGGUCUCAGUUCGGAUUGGGGUCUGCAACUCGACCCCAUGAAGUCGGAGUCGCUAGUAAUCGCAGAUCAGCAACGCUGCGGUGAAUACGUUCCCGGGCCUU